UACGUAGGUGACAAGCGUUGUCCGGAUUUACUGGGCGUAAAGAGCGCGCAGGCGGUCGUUCAAGUCGAGUGUGAAAGCCCCCGGCUCAACUGGGGAGGGUCAUUCGAUACUGAUCGACUCGAAGGCAAGAGAGGGUAGUGGAAUUCCCGGUGUAGUGGUGAAAUGCGUAGAUAUCGGGAGGAACACCAGUGGCGAAGGCGACUACCUGGCCUGUUCUUGACGCUGAGGCGCGAAAGCUAGGGGAGCAAACGGG
rnacentral:rRNA from 1 species